ensembl:lncRNA
GAAAAAGGAAACAAAAGUAUGAAUUCUGGAACUGGGAAGGAAAAAGCACAAGCCCUCUGGAGAAGAGGAAUACAAACAAAAAGUGGACAGGGAAGAAGGACAGGCUUUCCUCACUGCCGUAAAACAAGAAAGAGAACAGAGGAAAGCGGAUGGUCUGGGCAAACUCAAAACAGAGACAACAGAUUUUUCUGAUGUGGAGUAAGUCAAGCAGGCAAGGCAGGAGGCUCUUUUGGCAAAUAUCACUCCCAUUUCAUGAAGAAGGAUCUGGGAAGCUACAGGCCAGACAGUCUCACCUCAGUCCCUGAGAAGUUUAUGGAGUAAAUCUUCCUGAACAUCAUUUCUGAACACACAAAGGAAAUAUAGGGGAUGACUGGUUCAGUAUACAAGAGGACAGAAGUGGAUGCCACUCACUUUGACUUCAGUAAUUUUUUUUUAAUUUUCUUUUUUUCUGUCCAUAGUUUCACAGGACAUUUUUUCAUCCUGCCUGGGAAGAUAUGGCUUGUGUGGGUAAAACCCUAUCUGGACUGCCAGCCUCAAAGAGCUCAAAAUCCAAAGGGCAGCCAGUUGCUAGCAAUGUUGUGUUUGCAAGUGUUGAUCAGUAUCAGUAGGUAUUGUUUGAUACCUGCAUUAACAAACAGGACACAACCAAUAACUGCCUGUUACCAAUACGCUACAGACAACAGGAC